rnacentral:tRNA from 1 species
AAGGAUUUAAGUUAAAUAUAAACUAGUAACCUUCAAAGUUACCAAUAAAAGGUAUUAAGCCUUA